CACAAAGCAAAACCAAGAGUAUUUAUUUUCAUUAUUUUAAAAAACUGCAACGUUUAUUUCACAAUCCCUGGAACUGUAAAAUAACUAUUCUUUUAAUUUACAGAAUUGAGGGAAGUAUUUUAAAUGUCAAAAUACACAUGCUGAAUGUGAUUUAGCAUAUAAGCACCAAAAAUCCCAAAAGUAUACAAAGAUUGUUUAAACAUAUAAGGUGCAUUUAUUCAUGAAUUAAUUACAUUCAGUUUGAAGGAAGAAACAGUACUCCAAAGUUCAUCAAUAUUUAAGAAAUUAUCCGAAUAGCUUCCAACUUGGUUUACAGCUAAAUAACAGAUACUGCUUUUAGGUUUUUUUAUACAAUGCAUCUAAACCUUAGGUUCGAAAUUUAAGUGCUGCCUUACACUGUGAAUGGCAGUUUGAUCACUAAAUUUAUGUUCCAGUUUGAGAUACUUCAUACACAACAUAUAUUUAAUGCCCUGAAAACUUCUGCUUAAAAACUGAGUUAUUUAGUGAACAUCUGAAGGUAACAAAAAAAGAUAGAUCUUGUAUAUUUUUAUGUAGAAUUGGGUAUAAAGUCAUUUGGGGUCAAACACAAUUAUUUUUUAAAUAUUAUCAGUCCACCCAGUAAUAAGAACUUUUGUAAAUAUGCCACUAUAGCUUCGGGCAAUAAUUGCUAUUAUGAAGUUAGAUAAACACAGGAUUAAUUUCUUGGUUUACAAAUCAAAAUUAUUGUGAUAUUAAAGCAUGCCUCCUUCCAAACCACUUGGUCAAUGCUGAUAACAACUAAGAAAAACGUAUGCUAGUAUUGCUCUAAAUAUACUGACUUAGCUGUCCUGAAUGACCUAAUUAGGUUGGGGAGGGGACUUGGCCUGGUUCUCCAGUUCUGUGAAGCUGCCACCUCCAGCCUCACUCUAAAUAGCUUAUACAAAAUCAAGUUAUUCCCAUAGCUAACACAAAUCCAGCAAGCUGUGGUCCUAAAUGCCAUCUACAUUUAUAUAUUUACUUUUUUACUGUGUACAUUAAGAAUUUUGUUGUGCUUUUCACAUAUCCGAUGUAUGUUUUCAUAUUAAACAUUCCUCAGUUUCUUGGGAAGGAAAGAAAAAGAUCAUGAAAAGAGGUACAUCAGGAGAGUCGGACUGUAAAGUAACAUUACACACACAACUAGCCAAAUCUCUUUUUAAUUUAAAAGAUAAUGUCAUCACAAGGCAACAUAUAGAAAUAUAAAAGAAAAUAAAGUAUCCACCCUAAAAUCCCUAUUAUUCCAUGAUAUUUUCACAGCAACUAGUAUAUAUAUCAAUAUAUUUUUCACAAACCAUUCAGUUACACAUUGUGUAUGCUUUUAGAAUUUAAAAUAUGUAUUACCAUAGCAGUCUAAACAUUGUACUUUUAGGGAAAUGUGCGGAGACAUGGUUCAGUGAUUUGAUCAUUGUGAUGAUUAUUUACAAUGCUAUCUAUUUACGUUAGCAAUAAAUAAUCCUGAUAUCAAAAGAGACAAUACUCAUGCACACACCAAGAUGGCUGCAUGCUCUUAAAAUAUUUACACAUAGCUCUGCCUUUUAUAGCUCUCCCAUUAAGAGUGAAAGUGCGCUUUCUUCAAUUCUCUCCACAUUUCCAUUAGUCUUGCUUCUGGGGGAUGCAUCCUUCCAUUUCUACAACUUCAGGCCAUCCUUCAUAUUUGUUUGUAUCCUUAUUGUUCUUUAUGUGCUGUUCAAAAGGGCUUUUUGUCUUAAUGCCCUUCCCACCACAGAAGACCCAGUUGUCUCUAAAACCAAGAUUAGUAAUAGAUGUGCUCCCCAAAUCAGCAAUGAGCCGCCGUGCCUCAUCAUUGAGUUUGGUUGCUCCAUCAUCGUAUGUUCCCAUUAAAACUAUUGUUCCAUCUUGUAUGGCCUUCAGAAACUCAAUAAAUGGUGCCACAUCUCCUCCCCACAUGUCAAAAUAUUUAGUGUCUAAUACUUCUCCUGUUUUUCCAUUUGCCAAGGCAACAUUGAUCCCUCUUCCAACAUUAUUCUUAACACCACUCAUUAAAACAUUAUCUUCCAGGCAGAUUUUGGGUCCCACCACGUUGGCUGCUCCACUUGCCAUUUUAAAAGCAAAAUGCUUCUCAGGGCAAGCUUUUGAGAUCCCACACUUAUAUCUGGGAGGCUUUGUAGAACGUGCAGCUGUGUCCAAUGCUGAUCUUGCAAAUAGAUUUCCUAAACUUGCAUCCAUUUUUAUUUCAAAUACUUGAGAAAUAACAUAAAAUGUCAGUAAAAACACUGCCACAGCUACCACCAACUUUGCAGCACCUGCUACCCUCAUGUUUGGUUUUUCAGUUUAUGGCACUUUUCAUUAAUAUGCUCCGGCCUCCCGCCCGCCUCUCCGCCGUGCGCGCCCGCCUUCCGGCUUCCCAGCGCUCAGUCCUGCCGGAGGCCGACGGGAGCCGCCGCCUCCAGCUCGCGCCUCCGCUUCCUCUCGGACUCCCCCGG
rnacentral:lncRNA from 1 species